GGGCCCGAGUUGCGCACAGGGCAAUACAAUGACAGAGAGGCCGUUUCAUGACAAUCAUUCACUUAAUCACUUAAAGCUAAAUGGAAAAAGAUCAAAGUUACCUUUAUGGUGAGGCAAAAGUGGCUGUGGUAUUAAUGCGGCGGUGAUUAAUGCUUAGUGUGAGCGUAAUCAAACCUAUUCAUUGAAUUUGUACGUUAUUAUAAAUCAAAAUUAUUUAUCUUGUUAAAGUACUGCCAAGCUGGCGCUCAGCUAUUAAUAAUCUCUACGGUAACAAGGUUAAAAAUGGUUACAAAAUGUUACAACGGCAAGCGACCGUAUGGACCGCGCGCGCGUCCUUAGAAACAUUUAGAAAUAAAUUUAAGAGAGUUUAAUGGAACGUUAUCUCCAAGCAGCGACAAGCCGCGAUCUUCACACGCACGACUCUGUACACUUGUUGUUGCCAUGUUUGGACUGUUUAGCUGCUGCUGGAUUUUCUCGCCUCAAGCCCAGAAUAGCCACAUAUAACAACAGCGACCAAUUUCGCAUUUGGCUGCGUGCGUGUUAUCCGCUGGGAACAUUAAGCUGUUGCACCUCCCACGCAAAUUACGAAAAUUGUCCAUUAACCCAAUUACCGAAUUGUCAAUAAAGCAACAAGGGACUUAGGCGAAGAGGAAAUUGUAACGUUCUCGCACCGCGCUCGCUUACUUUUGCCCCAUACGUACGCCCACCAUCAUUGCGCGCAUCAAGGUUCGCCCCAAUCUUUGCAACCCUCUGGAUCGCUUCGGCAUGGAACGCUAUGUCUACCUAGUUCGUCCUAGUUGCGGUUCCCUCCAGGGCCGUGUAACAACUUUGGCAAGGAACCGGUUCGCCAAGUGAGUAACUAUCGAAGACCCGCUGCUGCUACCCGCAGAGCGCAUCAUCCCCCAUAUGAUGCCGUUACAGGGGCUGCCUGGGCUGGAUGCCAGUUGCCCCGCCUCAUUCGUGUCUUUAGCUCCCCGCCUGGCAAUGCCUGCAGCUGCAGGGCACCAAAUCCUGACACGCUGGCCCUGGUGCUGCGCGGACAGGUGAUGAUGCAACACAUAAGCACCUAACGGACACGCCCAGGUGAUGUGAUGUGACGUAAGAGGCACUCUCAGGUCCCGAGCCAGAUUCUCGGAAGUGCUGAAAAAAUGAAGUUCCCGGUUUCACCCUUGCAGGUUGUGUUGCGGGGCUCUUACCUAGCCUUACCUAGCCUUACCUUACUGCG
rnacentral:lncRNA from 1 species